rnacentral:rRNA from 1 species
GGGUCAGUAGGUUGGUCGUGCCACCGGUACGUACUGGUCUCACUGAUUUCUCCUUCCUGAAGAACCGUAGUGCCAUUAAUUUGGUGUUGCGGGGAAACAGGACUGUUACUUUGAAAAAAUUAGAGUGUUUAAAGCAAGCUAACGCUUGAAUACAUUAGCAUGGAAUAAUGAAAUAGGACGAUCGAUCCUAUUUUGUUGGUUUCUAGGAUUGACGUA